CCAGGCGCCUCUACACUCUGAAGUGGGGAGUUUUCACAAAAUGGUGCCAGGACAUUGGUAUUGACCAGGGGACCUGUUCCGUGUCGGAUGUUUUGCGCUUUCUACAGCACAGAUUGGAUUGCGGGAGUUUGCCAUCCACGCUGAAGGUGUAUGUGGCCGCUAUUGCUGCUUUUCGUUCCCCGGUUGACGGGCAAUCGAUCGGUAAGCACGCUCUAGUUAUCAGUUUUCUCAGGGGAGCGAGGAGAUUGUGUCCUUCACGGCCGCCCUCCGUGCCACCGUGGGAUCUAGCUCUGUCUCUGAGGGCACUAUCUCUACCACCGUUCGAGCCCUUAGCUUCGAUUGAGGUUAAGGAGCUUUCCCUGAAGACGGCCUUGCUUCUUGCUCUCGCCUCGGCGAAGCGCAUUGGAGACCUACACGCGUUUUCGGUGAACGACGAUUGCAUAUGUUUCGGACCUGGCGACUGUAAUGUCACUCUCCGGCCGAGACCAGGUUACGUGCCGAAGUCACUCAAUACACCGUUCAGAGCACAGGUUGUUUCCCUGCCCGCCUUAUGUGCUGAGCCGCCAGCCUCGCGUGACGCUGAUGCUCAGAGCACUGUCUGCCCUGUUAGGGCUUUGCGGACAUAUGUGGAUCGCUCGGCCGCCUUUCGUCAGUCGGACCAGCUGUUCGUGUGCUUUGGUGGAUGUAAUAAGGGACGUGCUGUUUCAAAACAGAGACUUUCUCACUGGAUUGUGGACGCUAUUACGUUGGCUUACGAAUGCCAGGGGAAAGAUUGUCCCCUCAACAUCAAAGCUCAUUCCGUGAGGGCAAUUGCUUCCUCAUGGGCCUGGGCUAGAGGUAUGUCUAUCCAGGAUUUAUGUCUUGCUGCUGGCUGGUCUUCCCAGAACACAUUCGCCAGGUUUUACAAGCUGGAUGUACCCUCUGUAGCGUCACAUGUACUUUCGGUGAGUUAAGUUUCAUUCAUAUGUUGUGAACUGUUAUAACCAGCUAUACAGUAGUUACCAUAGCUGCUAACUCUGUGUUAUGGUUUAUAAGAUUAUGCAGUUGUCACCGCAAACGCUGUCGACUCUGUGUUUAACUCUCAUGCUNNNNNNNNNNNNNNNNNNNNNNNNNNNNNNNNNNNNNNNNN
rnacentral:lncRNA from 1 species